GGGGGGCGCGGGGGGGGGGGGGGGCGGGGGGGGGGCGAGCGGGGGGGGAGGGGGGGGGGGGGCGUGCGGGGGGCGAGGGGCGGGCGGGGGGGGAGUACAGGGGGAUCUACUUGUGCGGGGGGGAGAACGUAGGGAAACGUACGCUAAUCACGCCUACGGCCUACGGGGGAGAGCAGGGGCUCUUCAGGCCUGGCGCGACUGGAGGAGCCGAUGUCGGAUUAGCUAGUUGGCGGGGUAAAGGCCCACCAAGGCGACGAUCCGUAGCUGGUCUGAGAGGAUGAUCAGCCACACUGGAACUGAGACACGGUCCAGACUCCUACGGGAGGCAGCAGUGGGGAAUAUUGGACAAUGGGCGCAAGCCUGAUCCAGCCAUACCGCGUGGGUGAAGAAGGCCUUCGGGUUGUAAAGCCCUUUUGUUGGGAAAGAAAAGCAGCAGGUUAAUACCCCGCUGUUCUGACGGUACCCAAAGAAUAAGCACCGGCUAACUUCGUG
rnacentral:rRNA from 1 species